AUUCAAUACAUAAAAAUUAGUCUCUGUCCCUAUCUGACCAACUUCCAUCAGAAUUAGCCUCAUCACUUCUGCUUUCACUGUGAUAAUUGGAGCGCCUCCGACUCCAAGUUGUUUCAUGAACAAUUGACGUUCAUCAUCAUGGCUUCUGCCAGAACCACUUUUCACACGAUCAGCCUCCCUUGAUCUAGACCUUCUGUAAUGAUGCCUGCAUAAGAAAUUACAAAACCAUAAAUAACUAGAAGAUUUCUAACAUCAGCAGUAAAUACAUUAAAUAAUGAAAUUUGAUCAUAGUUUGGAUCAUCAUCCCUUGUACAUAAGAUCGCAAUGCUACAUCACCAAAGGCUUCUUGUUGAAUCUAAUUAUUUUCUUGCCAUGCUUGCAACAUGGUCAUUACGCCACAUACUAAUCAUACAUUUUUGAAAGUGGGUUUUAAACUCGAACAAUAGACCAAAAAACCAACAGAAGAACUUUCUUUAAAUCUUGCAUUGAAAGAACAUCUUUUCAUUAUUCAUUGCUUCUAAGAAAACCAAGUUAGGAGACUUGAAGAAAACACAAAUGAAGAGAACGAUACUAUGAAGAAACCUCUCAAAAUCAUCGGUCAAACAUGGAAGUUUAAACUAAAAAAUUCAAAUAACAGAAAGUGAAUUAAAUAAACAAGAGUUCAUAUAUACCAAGUACAGUUUUUAGUGUCUAUGACUAAUAAUAAAAGCAUACCUGUCGGCAUUAGUUGAAUCUAUCUUGUUCCUCGUUUGUCCUUCGCGUUCUUGAUUCCAGGUCCCAGAUUCAUCAGAAUAACCAAAUAAAGCAGCCAUCUUUUUCACCCAAUAUCUCGGAGGUGGUUUAUCCCAAUCAGCCCAUUCAUAGUCUCCGCUAGGGUUGCGGAAACAGUGGAUAAAAUUGCAGGCCAUUCCACAAGAGCAUGUCUGUUAAAAUAUAUGCCCAACGAAGAUAAUAAGAGUGUAAAGAAAAGAAGAAAAGAAACAAACUCAUUUCAUAUCAAAAGCAAAAUGGCAAAGAAAAAAGCAAGUGUAUAAGCCGCACAAUUAUAACUCUGAAAAAUGAGACAAUUGGCUGUACCUUUAGUAUUGACUUCAUAUAUUCCCCACAUAUGGCAAUCUUCCAUCUAGUCACAUUAAUAAAUUGAUUGGUUGGUGCGAGUUGUAUAACAGCACCAAAUUGAUUGUAAUUAAAAUUAAAAAGAAUAUGAUUACCUUAAAUAAAAAAGAAAAAAAGGAAAAAGGAAAAGACUAACCUUUAAGAGUAGUCCCAAAUAUAAUGAAAAAAGAUUUAUGCCUUUGGUACUUUCUUCUCUCGUUGCAAUUCACAGUGUUGACACAUUUUUUUCCCUGAAAAGUACUGCAAGUUAGUAGAUUUAUCACUAAUCAGAUUUAAUAGGAAACGUUGACAGCUUGAAUUUAAGAUUUUCUUUAAUUUAAUUUGGAAUGCUAUGAACAAAACAUAAUUAGACAUGUCAAUGCACCACAAAUCAAAUUUCCAAGUCAUUUGGACAACUCUACAUUUGCUUCUCACAUGAUAAAACUAUAUAAGUUAAAAUUGCAUAUGAAACUGUAAAAGUAGCAGCAGGUGUUUGAAUAUAUAUUAAAUUUAAAAUACUAAAUAUAUCAUAAUGAUACUUUCCACAUUUUAAGUGGACAUAUAAGUCAACAACAUAUUAAAAUUUGAGGCUAUUCUGAUAUCAUUAGGCUGGUGUUUGAUAGGAUCAAACAUUAAUGAACAAUUCUGUCAAAAUUGCAUAUGAAACUGUAAAAGUAGCAGCAGGUGUUUGAAUAUAUAUUAAAUUUAAAAUACUAAAUAUAUCAGAAUGAUACUUUCCAGAUUUUAAGUGGACAUAUAAGUCAACAACAUAUUAAAAUUUGAGGCUAUUCCGAUAUCAUUAGGCUGGUGUUUGAUAGGAUCAAAGAUUAAUGAACAGUUCUGUCAAAAUUGCAUAUGAAACUGUAAAAGUAGCAGCAGGUGUUUGAAUAUAUAUUAAAUUUAAAAUACUAAAUAUAUCAGAAUGAUACUUUCCAGAUUUUAAGUGGACAUAUAAGUCAACAACAUAUUAAAAUUUGAGGCUAUUCCGAUAUCAUUAGACUGGUGUUUGAUAGGAUCAAAAAUUAAUGAACAGUUCUGUCAAAAGAAGUUACUGCAGAGACAUCAGAGUUUGAAAAAUUAUUAAAAAUAAAUUACAAGUUCAAUCAAAAUAAAAUUUUCCAGAUUUGAAGUAUGCAAAUAGAAGUGUAGUUUAUCCGAAUUUCAGCUUAUUCUAACUCUGUUAGACUAUAGUUUGCAAUAUCAAACAUGGUACAUAUGUAAUUUCUAAUAAAAUUGGACAACAACCAACCAUAUUGAGAAAUCCAUUCAAAAUAAAAUAUAAACCCAAUUCAUUCCAAAAUUUCCAGAAUUAAAAUGUUCUCAUUUAAACUUAGUUUAAUCAAACUUUCAAAUCAAUUGAAAGUCAUUUAGUCAAGUUCGGAAACAACCAAGUUCACAACAACAGUCUAUCAAUCCUCAAAUUUUCAGCAUAAUUUCGUGAGGGAGAAUGGAGAUUUUUACUUAAGAAAAUUUUAGGUUUGGGUUUUCAUACACACCAUUAAACGAAAUAUAGUACAUACUAAACACAUGAUUGUCGAUUGCCAUUAUUCUUUUAAUUAACAAAUUGCAUUCAACCUAAAUCCAUAAUCACCGAUUGUAAUCAUUCUUUCACUUAAUAAACUGAAUUCCACCUAUAAUAAAGCUGCGUUUUAUUUAUUUUAUUAAACAAUAAAUUAGAUUAUAAGCAACAAAAACCCUAGAUGGCUAGAUUUCCAAACAAGUGCAAGCUCUCAUUUGCACUCAAUAAACAUCAAUCAAUUAAUAGAUAAAUACUUAAACAAUGAGAAUAGAGAAUGAGACAAAGAGUUACCACAACACUGAUUCGGACUUUCAAACCUUAGCUUUGCCCAAAUUCUUCACAGCACUUUCUGGGUUCUUUUCAGGGAUAUUUUAGCUUAAGGACGACGGGUUUCAAGGUUUUGACAAAGGCGGCUUUCAAGGUAGAUCAUUGUUAGAGAGAGAAAGAGAGCGAGAGAGAGGGAAGGAGAGAGAAGGAAGAAAGCUUCGGCGGCCGUGAGAUAGAUUUUUUACUUUAACAAAAAUUUUUAGGUUUUAGGUUUCACACAGAACAUGAAAGAUUUUUAGAUUUUAGGUUUUAAGUUAUAAUAUUUAUUUAUUUAUUAAUUUAUAAGUUCAAAAAUGCAAUUUGUGGCCGAGUGGUAUAGCGGUUAAAAUAAAAAGGUUAUGGCUUAGAGGUCUUCAGUUCGAUUAUUAGUAGAUACAAAAUUAAAAUUUUAUUUUUUUAACUACUAAUACUUUAGUGUCACGAAUCUGUGAUAUUUGAUUUACUGACACCGUAGUAUUAGUAAUUUGUGAUACUUAUCUGUUAAACACGGAAAAUGCCCCAAAUACAUGUAAUUACUGAUACUUUAUAAUAAAGUGUCAGAAGACAAGUGUCACAAAAGACCAUUUUUCUAGUAGUGAAGCUUGAGGAUUCUACUUCCUUGUUUUGAACAGCCAAAAUAUAACUCCCUCACAAGCAUUUCCUCAUCUCUGUAAGAUGAUCUUGAGGUUAAGCCAUUUAGCAUGAUGCCGCCAAGGAUGCUGAAUUACAUUCUAAAAGUGAUUACUUGGCUAUAUUCUAAAGGCGUUUUUAGAUGCACGUGAAAACAGACCAGUUACUUGUAGACAUAAUUCUACAAAAUAUACUCUAAUUGAUGUUUCCCGAUUUCUGUUUUUCAGAAUCUAAAAAAUUAGCCAAUGGGUUUCACUGUGUAAAAGUUCACUCUUGUGUAUUCUACUGUGUGCUUUGCUUUUCUUUGUUAGCCUUUAGGGUUUUGAAAA
rnacentral:lncRNA from 1 species